GGAGCCGGCCGGGCAAUCGCUGCCCCAGCCCGUCACUGGGCCGGGGGGGAGGAAAGUCCGGGCUCCGGCGGAUCAGGGUGCCAGGUAACGCCUGGGGGGCCGCAUCGUCAGUGGGGCGCAAGCCUCGCCCGGUGUGUGCUCACGGAAAGUGCAACAGAGAGUAAACCGCCCAAGCCCGCGCUCAGGCCGCACGUCGGUCGGGGUGGCGGGACGGCAAGGGUGAAACGGUGCGGUAAGAGCGCACCGCGGCCUUGGCAACAAGGCUGGCAUGGCAAACCCCACCUGGAGCAAGGCCAAAUAGGGAAGCAGCGGGUUGCGGCAACGCAAUGCGCAGCGCUGAUCCGCGCGCGCUUCCGGGUAGGCUGCUAGAGGUCCACGGCGACGUGGAUCGUAGAGGAAUGAUUGCCCGCAUGGGGCCGGCGCAGUCUCUGCGGCGGUGUCGUGCGACAGAACCCGGCUUACAGGCCGGCUCCCCGA
rnacentral:RNase_P_RNA from 1 species